GAUGAACGCUGGCGGCGUGCCUAAUACAUGCAAGUCGAGCGAACAGACGAGGAGCUUGCUCCUCUGACGUUAGCGGCGGACGGGUGAGUAACACGUGGAUAACCUACCUAUAAGACUGGGAUAACUUCGGGAAACCGGAGCUAAUACCGGAUAAUAUAUUGAACCGCAUGGUUCAAUAGUGAAAGACGGUUUUGCUGUCACUUAUAGAUGGAUCCGCGCCGCAUUAGCUAGUUGGUAAGGUAACGGCUUACCAAGGCAACGAUGCGUAGCCGACCUGAGAGGGUGAUAGGCCACAAUGGAACUGAGACACGGUACAGACGCAUAAGGGAGGCAGCAGUAGGGAAUCUUCCGCAAUGGGCGAAAGCCUGACGGAGCAACGCCGCGUGAGUGAUGAAGGUCUUCGGAUCGUAAAACUCUGUUAUUAGGGAAGAACAAAUGUGUAAGUAACUAUGCACGUCUUGACGGUACCUAAUCAGAAAGCCACGGCUAACUACGUG
rnacentral:rRNA from 1 species